GGGCAGAUAGUUUAGUGGUAGAACACCGCACGUCAGUUUUGCGGGAUUCCGGCAGGUCAGGCAGGCAGGCAGUUCAGGCAGGACGCACCCCGGUCAGGCGGGUCGCUAUUCAGGGAGGUACCCUUCGGGGCCUCGUGCAUCUCAGGUCUGCGGAGACUCAGGUUCGAUUCCUGGUCUGCUCG